rnacentral:lncRNA from 1 species
ACAAAUUAUCAAAUUAAUUAGUCAUAAUUACAUAUUUUUCUAGGUCGCGUAUUAUUUGUUCAUCACAAAUUAACAAUUUAUUGAUCACAAUACCCAAAUAAUUGGUUACAAAUCUUCUUCCCACACACCACCAUCGACAUCACUUCCAUCCCAGUCGUAUUAUCGUCCCAUAGGCAACAACUAAAAGCCACUCCACCUCAAAACCAUCGUCAACACCACGACAGCCUACAAUGGCAACAGAACUACCACCGCUUGCACAACCAUCGACAUCACCGCCUACAAACAACCAUCAACAAACCACCGAUAGAAACCACCCACCCACAGAUUAGAAAACCACCAACAAACUAACAAAGCCACGCUACGAUGGAGAAGAGAUUGUUGCUGAAGAAAAUUACCUUGCGGCUCUAAGCACAAUGAUUAGUGUACAACAUCACAAUCACUUGCAUAAUUAUCGCCAUCACUACCUAUAAACAACCACCAACAAACUACCUACAGAAAAUUACCCACCCAAAAAGAUCAAAAAUCACCCACAUAUCAGAUAACCACCAACAUGCAUCAAGGAGUUGAUGCUCUCAGCAGGCAGCAAGGCGACAGUACGCACAGCGAUGCUGCACAUUGUUGUGCGUAGUGGUGGAGCUAAGUUGCCAGAAAGCGAAUGGCGAUGGAGAAGAGAUUGUUGCCGAAGAAGAGAUCGUGACUUGGAUAAUAAAGUAAGAGAAAAGAGAAUAAAGUGAGAGAAGAGGGGGGAAAUAAUCUUAUAAUUGGGCAGGUAAUUAGCACGUUCUUAUCUAUCACUAUUCUUGUGGAAACUAUCCUUACCUUUAUUUUUAUUUUUUGUUAUUUU